AGAGUUUGAUCAUGGCUCAGAACGAACGCUGGCGGCAGGCCUAACACAUGCAAGUCGAACGGAUGUAGCAAUACAUUAGUGGCGCACGGGAGAGUAACGCGUGGGAACCUACCUUUUGGUUUGGGAUAACGUCGGGAAACUGACGCUAAUACCAGAUAAGCCCUUCGGGGGAAAGAUUUAUCGCCGAUUGAUGGGCCCGCGUUAGAUUAGCUAGUUGGUGAGGUAACGGCUCACCAAGGCGACGAUCUAUAGCUGGUCUGAGAGGAUGACCAGCCUCACUGGGACUGAGACACGGCCCAGACUCCUACGGGAGGCAGCAGUGGGGAAUAUUGGACAAUGGGGGCAACCCUGAUCCAGCCAUGCCGCGUGAAUGAUGAA
rnacentral:rRNA from 1 species